UAUUUUGGUUGAAGGAUGUGAUUUUUUAAAAUACUUUCACAGAGAUAUGGUUUUUGCAGUUAUUAAUGGACUUAAUGGAACCAAAACAAUUCUGGCUUUUUCCUUACUGUAUCUCCUGAUUCGAUACAAUUAGUUGCUGAACAUGCAGCCAAGAAUAACAAGUUCUUCAUGAUGAACCUUUCUGCUCCCUUUAUUUGUGAGUUCUUCAAGGAUGAACAGGAGAAAUUUUUGCCAUUGAUAAUGUCGAGGAAAUAGCUUUAAAGAUUUCCUAGUGGCCAAAGGCAUCAGGAACACACAAAAGAAUUACCGUUAUCACACAAGGUGCAGAUCCUAUUUGUCUUGCUAAGGAUGGGAAAGUUAAGUUGUAUCCUGUGAUACUAUUACCUAAAGAAAAAUUAGUUGACACAAAUGGAGCAGAUAUAAUACAACCUAUUGCUUUUAGUAUUUAAAUAUUAA